rnacentral:rRNA from 1 species
AGUUUGAUUAUGGCUCAGGAUGAACGCUAGCUACAGGCUUAACACAUGCAAGUCGAGGGGCAGCAUGGUCUUAGCUUGCUAAGGCCGAUGGCGACCGGCGCACGGGUGAGUAACACGUAUCCAACCUGCCGUCUACUCUUGGACAGCCUUCUGAAAGGAAGAUUAAUACAAGAUGGCAUCAUGAGUCCGCAUGUUCACAUGAUUAAAGGUAUUCCGGUAGACGAUGGGGAUGCGUUCCAUUAGAUAGUAGGCGGGGUAACGGCCCACCUAGUCUUCGAUGGAUAGGGGUUCUGAGAGGAAGGUCCCCCACAUUGGAACUGAGACACGGUCCAAACUCCUACGGGAGGCAGCAGUGAGGAAUAUUGGUCAAUGGGCGAGAGCCUGAACCAGCCAAGUAGCGUGAAGGAUGACUGCCCUAUGGGUUGUAAACUUCUUUUAUAAAGGAAUAAAGUCGGGUAUGGAUACCCGUUUGCAUGUACUUUAUGAAUAAGGAUCGGCUAACUCCGUGCCAGCAGCCGCGGUAAUACGGAGGAUCCGAGCGUUAUCCGGAUUUAUUGGGUUUAAAGGGAGCGUAGAUGGAUGUUUAAGUCAGUUGUGAAAGUUUGCGGCUCAACCGUAAAAUUGCAGUUGAUACUGGAUAUCUUGAGUGCAGUUGAGGCAGGCGGAAUUCGUGGUGUAGCGGUGAAAUGCUUAGAUAUCACGAAGAACUCCGAUUGCGAAGGCAGCCUGCUAAGCUGCAACUGACAUUGAGGCUCGAAAGUGUGGGUAUCAAACAGGAUUAGAUACCCUGGUAGUCCACACGGUAAACGAUGAAUACUCGCUGUUUGCGAUAUACUGCAAGCGGCCAAGCGAAAGCGUUAAGUAUUCCACCUGGGGAGUACGCCGGCAACGGUGAAACUCAAAGGAAUUGACGGGGGCCCGCACAAGCGGAGGAACAUGUGGUUUAAUUCGAUGAUACGCGAGGAACCUUACCCGGGCUUAAAUUGCAGAUGAAUUACGGUGAAAGCCGUAAGCCGCAAGGCAUCUGUGAAGGUGCUGCAUGGUUGUCGUCAGCUCGUGCCGUGAGGUGUCGGCUUAAGUGCCAUAACGAGCGCAACCCUUGUUGUCAGUUACUAACAGGUUCCGCUGAGGACUCUGACAAGACUGCCAUCGUAAGAUGUGAGGAAGGUGGGGAUGACGUCAAAUCAGCACGGCCCUUACGUCCGGGGCUACACACGUGUUACAAUGGGGGGUACAGAGGGCCGCUACCACGCGAGUGGAUGCCAAUCCCCAAAACCUCUCUCAGUUCGGACUGGAGUCUGCAACCCGACUCCACGAAGCUGGAUUCGCUAGUAAUCGCGCAUCAGCCACGGCGCGGUGAAUACGUUCCCGGGCCUUGUACACACCGCCCGUCAAGCCAUGGGAGCCGGGGGUACCUGAAGUGCGUAACCGCGAGGAGCGCCCUAGGGUAAAACUGGUGACUGGGGCUAAGUCGUAACAAGGUACCC